AACGUUACGGGAAACGGAGCUAAUACCGGAUAAUAUAUUGAACCGCAUGGUUCAAUAGUGAAAGACGGUUUUGCUGUCACUUAUAGAUGGAUCCGCGCCGCAUUAGCUAGUUGGUAAGGUAACGGCUUACCAAGGCAACGAUGCGUAGCCGACCUGAGAGGGUGAUCGGCCACACUGGAACUGAGACACGGUCCAGACUCCUACGGGAGGCAGCAGUG
rnacentral:rRNA from 1 species